GUGGGCUUCUCCCGGCGAGAUCCCGAGUGAUUGUACCGGAUGGAGAUGUGAGAAAGGUGUAGCUCUACACCCCCAGGAGACAGGGAUGUGAGAAAGGUGUAGCUCUACACCCCCAGGAGACAGGGAUGUGAGAAAGGUGUAGCUCUACACCCCCAGGAGACAGGGAUGUGAGACAGGUGUAGCUCUACACCCCCAGGAGACAGGGAUGUGAGAAAGGUGUAG